UACGAAGGGGGCAAGCGUUGUUCGGAAUUACUGGGCGUAAAGGGCGCGUAGGCGGCUUAUCAAGUCAGGCGUGAAAUUCCCGGGCUCAACCUGGGGGCUGCGCUUGAUACUGAUUGGCUUGAAUGCGGGAGAGGAUAGUGGAAUUCCCAGUGUAGAGGUGAAAUUCGUAGAUAUUGGGAAGAACACCAGUGGCGAAGGCGGCUUACUGGUCCGGUUCUGACGCUGAGGCGCGAAAGCGUGGGGAGCAAACAGG
rnacentral:rRNA from 1 species